GUGCAGCCCUUGUCGGUCUGCUCCCAGGAUCUAUGGCGCUCGGUCAUUGGUGACACGUGUCGUCCUUUCUAUCAGAAGGAGCAUCUUUGGCGCUACCUUGACGUCUUCCAGAAGCUUCUAGAUUUAUUUGCUGAUGCAGGCGCCAUGUAUGUAAACGGAAAAGGUGGUGUGGUCCUUUUGCCUUUUGCCAUGUAGAUGUGAUCGAUUAGGGCUUCCCAAUAUCUUCAAUUCGUAGUUUCAUUCUUCCAUUCGUCGAUUUCGGCUUCCACGCCCUCCGCCCCCCUGACGUAAAAAUUAAGAGCUAAACAAUGAGUUCCACAAUUGAGAACGUAGACGACAUGCUUAGCAUGUUGCCUGGAGAGGUUCUUUCACGCAUUCUCUCUCUAAUGCCUACAAAAUACGCUGUGCGAACUAGCGUUCUAUCCAAAAGAUGGAGGUACACUUGGACAUCUGUCACAAACCUGGACUUUGAUUAUACUCGCCGUCUCCGCUCCAAUGAAAACAUCAUUACAAAAUUCGUUGAUGGGAAUGAAAAAAACUUCAUAAAAUUUGUGGAUCGGGCAUUGAAGUUUUGCAAAACUUCUAAUGUUGAAUUGUUUCGACUACACGUUUCUAAUUAUCACCAUGCUAUAGGGUCAAGUGUAUCAAAUUGGAUAGAUAAUGCCGUCAGGUUAAACGUCCGUGAGCUUGACAUAUGUGUUCUCCAAUCUAGGUUGCCUUUAAGCGUGUUCACCUGCAAAACCCUCACAAACUUAAGAUUGGAACUUAGUGUUUGUGAUUACUGUGUGUGGGAGUUUCCGUCUUCAAUCUAUCUUCCUUGCCUGAAAACUCUUGAACUUGUUGGGUAUUGCAAUCCUUUCAUAGAAGUAUUUAAUUUCAUUCGUGGCUGCCCAGUGCUUGAAAGUUUAUCUUUGGAAGUAUCUUCCAAUGAUGAAGAAGAUUACAUAUUCAACAUCCCUACUUUGAAACGGCUGAAACUAAUAUAUAUUUCAGCUACCGACUGUUAUGAAAACAAAAUUGUUUUACAUGUCCCUAAACUUGAAUACUUGUUUGUUGGUGGAGUAUUGUGCUCGUUUUUUGAAAUGAAGGAUGUGUCGUCUUUGGUUGGGGCAUCUAUUGCAUGUUGGCAAAGUACGUCGGAUUUCAUGUGGGCUGAUAUACUAAACAAAAUAACAGGAGUUCAAAAUCUUUCAAUAGAAAUUUUCCCAUUCACUUCACCUCUUCCCAUCUUUUCGAACAUGAAGCAGUUGGAGUUGAAGGGUACAUGGGAAUCUGGACAAAUCAUUCAAUUUCUUGAAAGUUGUCCCGAAUUGAAAAUUUUGUCUAUUGAUUUUGUAGAUUGGAGGGAUUUCAAGAAACAAAAGCCUGAAGAACCAAAGUUGGUUCCUGCUUGUAUGCUAACAAACCUUACAGCCAUCAAGUUUUCAAACUGCAUCGGAGAUACAUGUGAUAUAAAGUUUCUGCAAUACAUGUUGGGGAAUGCAUAGGUUUUGAAGGCGGUAACAGUAUUCGCUCAGGAAAACUUACUUAUAGAAGAAAACUUGUGUUUCUGUGAACAGGUGCUUAAGAUUCCCAGGGCUUCUCCGCAUUGUGAAAUUCGUUUUCGAACAUGGAAAUCGCCUCCGCCUCAGGAAUUUGAAGACGACGACCCUUAUGAAGGAUUUGCAUUUUGAUUGCUUGAACCAGUAGCCUUCGUUGAACUCGUUUUCACAUCAGUAAGUUUGAUGCAAAUAUGUUCGGGUGAGCUAUGGAAGAUAAAGAAUCCAGUAGCUGUUCAAGAUGCAAUUUGUUUUCAUCUCUGGUAACUCUUGAUUCAAACUUUGCAUUUUAAAAUGCAUCUACUUGAUUUCUUUUGGACUUUUGAUGUAGAUUUCAGUUACAUGGUAUGCAUCUAGUUUUGUGCUUGCGGUUUUGGGGCUGAAUUGACCAACAGAAAGUUGUUAUUUUACUUUACUCCAGCUUCACUGUCUUUGAGAGUUUGUUCUCGUGAGACAGUUGACGGCUUGUUUGCACUGCAAUUAAUCACUCGUUUAGAGUA